rnacentral:tRNA from 1 species
GACACAGUGGCAGAGAUGGCUUAAUGCGUCAGUCUUGAAAACUGAAAGUCAGAAAAGGCUCGUAGGUUCGAAUCCUACCUGUGUCGCCA